rnacentral:rRNA from 1 species
GCGAAUGGCUCAUUAAAUCACGUUAUCGUUUAUUUGAUAGUACCUUACUACAUGGAUACCUGUGGUAAUUCUAGAGCUAAUACAUGCUAAAAACCCCGACUUCGGGAGGGGUGUAUUUAUUAGAUAAAAAACCAAUGCCCCUCGGGGCUCCUUGGUGAAUCAUAAUAACUUAACGAAUCGCAUGGCCUUGCGCCGGCGAUGGUUCAUUCAAAUUUCUGCCCUAUCAACUUUCGAUGGUAGGAUAGUGGCCUACCAUGGUGGCAACGGGUAACGGGGAAUUAGGGUUCGAUUCCGGAGAGGGAGCCUGAGAAACGGCUACCACAUCCAAGGAAGGCAGCAGGCGCGCAAAUUACCCAAUCCCGACACGGGGAGGUAGUGACAAUAAAUACUGAUACGGGGCUCUUUUGGGUCUCGUAAUUGGAAUGAGUACAAUCUAAAUCCCUUAACGAGGAACAAUUGGAGGGCAAGUCUGGUGCCAGCAGCCGCGGUAAUUCCAGCUCCAAUAGCGUAUAUUAAAGUUGUUGCAGUUAAAAAGCUCGUAGUUGAACCUUGGGUCUGGCUGGCCGGUCCGCCUCACCGCGAGUACUGGUCCGGCUGGA